UACGUAGGGAGCAAGCGUUGUCCGGAAUCAUUGGGCGUAAAGCGCGCGUAGGUGGCUUCAUAAGUCCGUUGUGAAAGUCAAAGGCUCAACCUUUGAAAGCCGAUGGAUACUGUGGAGCUAGAGUACGGAAGAGGCGAGUGGAAUUCCUGGUGUAGCGGUGGAAUGCGCAGAUAUCAGGAGGAACACCAGUGCGAAGGCAGGUCUC
rnacentral:rRNA from 1 species